GACGAACGCUGGCGGCGUGCUUAACACAUGCAAGUCGAACGGAAAGGCCCUGCUUUUGUGGGGUGCUCGAGUGGCGAACGGGUGAGUAACACGUGAGUAACCUGCCCUUCACUUUGGGAUAACUUCAGGAAACUGGGGCUAAUACCGGAUAGGAGCCCCUGCUGCAUGGUGGGGGUUGGAAAGUUUCGGCGGUUGGGGAUGGACUCGCGGCUUAUCAGCUUGUUGGUGGGGUAGUGGCUUACCAAGGCAUUGACGGGUAGCCGGCCUGGGAGGGUGACCGGCGACAUUGGGACUGAGGUAGGGCGCAGACUCCUAUGGGGGGCAACAGUGGGAAAUAUUGCACAAUGGGCGGAAGCCUGAUACAGCAACGCCGGGUGCGGAAUGACGGCCUUCGGGUUAUAAACCGCUUUCGCCUGUGACGAAGCGUGAGUGACGGUAAUGAAUGAAGAAGCACCGGCUAACUACGUG
rnacentral:rRNA from 1 species